CCCCUGGGGCUGGGCUGAGUGCAGAUCUGCUGGCCCUGCUCUACAGCACGUGGGGGCUCUACCUGUACGCUACCAUCUGUUGCUUCCUGGUGGUGGUGGCCUGCUUCCUCAAGAGGAGGGCAGAUCUGCUCCUGCCAGCCCCCCACAGGACCCAGCAUGUGUCCUCUGCUUUGACCUCAGCAGAUCACAAGAUGGAAGUCACAAUUACAAGUGGAAGCACCCCGUCGGUGUGCCACUCGAGUCAGCAGUGACCUGCAGCUUCUGCUUCCUGGAGUGUGGGGUGCCCACCCAGGAGAGCAUGGAAAGGCGCACACCCCUGACCUUGAGGGUGCUGGGAGAUGGGGGC
rnacentral:lncRNA from 1 species